rnacentral:tRNA from 1 species
UGCGGGGUGGAGCAGUCUGGUAGCUCGUCGGGCUCAUAACCCGAAGGCCUUAGGUUCGAAUCCUAACCCCGCUACCA